CCAGCCCCUGGCUCCUCCCAUGCCGCCAAGCUGCAGCUCCUAGGCGCUGGCUUCCCUCCUCCCUCCGGCAGCAGCAGAAAUCCAGGAACUUGCAUCCUCUCCUCAGCAACGACGAGCACCUGUGUCUAAGUAAUGUCCUUUGAUAAUUAUUAUGGCAUAAUUGUUGAAGAAAGAACUGCGCUGGCCUCAAAGUACAGGAUUCUGCGUCAUCCAGCUAUGCUGCGUGAUCCAGACCAGCUGGGAUUUUGAACCGUAAGACGAGACUGCUCAGGGGCUCAUUGCAUUACUGUUUUCCUUUGAGCUGAGUCGUGGCAAGGAUGGGGGAUGCAAGGGAUAUCUGUCCUCACCUGGAUUCGAUAGGUGAGGUCACCAGGGAUGACCUCCUGCUCAAAUCCAAGGGAACUUGCCAGUCUUGUGGAGCUGGGGGACCAAAUCUCUGGGCUUGUCUCCAGGUUGGGUGUCCUUACGUUGGCUGUGGGGAGUCCUUUGCUGAUCACAGCACCCUACAUGCACAGGCCAAAAAACACAACCUGACGGUGAACCUGACCACAUUCCGGGUGUGGUGUUAUGCCUGUGAGAGAGAGGUAUUCUUGGACCAGAGGUUGGCAACAAAUGCUUCCUCCCCACCAUCAAAGUUUAGUGAACAGGAUUCUCCAUUGCCUGCUCACCCUCUGAAGGCUGUUCCAAUUGCAGUAGCUGACGAAGGAGAAUCUGAAUCGGAGGAUGAUGAUCUGAAACCAAGAGGCCUUACGGGAAUGAAGAACCUGGGGAACUCCUGCUACAUGAAUGCAGCACUUCAGGCCCUCUCUAACUGCCCUCCUCUCACGCAGUUUUUUCUGGAGUGUGGUGGGCUGGUACGCACAGACAAGAAACCAGCACUAUGCAAAAGCUACCAGAAAUUGGUCUCUGAAGUGUGGCACAAGAAGCGCCCAAGCUACGUGGUGCCAAGCAGCCUGUCUCAUGGAAUUAAACUGGUCAACCCCAUGUUCCGCGGCUAUGCUCAGCAGGAUACCCAGGAAUUCCUACGCUGCCUGAUGGACCAGCUUCAUGAAGAGCUAAAGGAACCAAUAGUUGCUGAGACAAGAGACUUGGACACAAACGACAUGGAUGACAAACGAGAGGGUGACCGCAGCCCUUCAGAGGAUGAGUUCCUCUCCUGUGACUCCAGCAGUGACAGGGGUGAGGGAGAUGGGCAAGGCAGGAUGGGGGGCAUGAACAGCUCCCUGGCAGAGACAGAACUGCUGAUCCAGGACGAGGCUGGCAGAGGGAUCUCUGAGAAAGAGAGGAUGAAGGACAGGAAGUUCUCUUGUGGGCAUCGGCGGAACAACUCGGAACAAGUGGAUGAGGAUGCAGAUGUUGAUACUACCAUGAUGCCAGUUGAUGACAGAGCUUCCCCUGAGACACUCCCCCCGCCCCGUCCUGCCAGCCCGUGUAGGACACCAGAGCCAGACAAUGAUGCCUAUGUGCGCUGCUCCUCUCGCCCCUGCAGUCCAGUUCACCAGGAGAUGCACUCCAAACUGUCCAGCAGCCCCCCUCGCUCUAGUCCUGCAAGACUUGGACCCUCCUAUGUGCUUAAGAAAGCCCAGAUGCAGGCUUCUGGGAAAAAGAAGAAAGAGCUUCGUUAUCGUAGUGUUAUUUCUGAUAUCUUUGAUGGCUCCAUUCUCAGCCUGGUGCAAUGCCUCACCUGUGACAGAGUGUCCACGACAGUGGAGACGUUCCAGGACCUGUCACUCCCAAUUCCUGGGAAGGAAGACUUAGCUAAACUGCACUCUGCCAUUUACCAGAAUGUGCCAGCAAAGACAGGGGCAUGCGGCGACAAUUAUGCCUCACAAGGCUGGAUUGCCUUCAUCAUGGAGUACAUCAGGAGGUUUGUGGUAUCCUGUAUUCCCAGCUGGUUCUGGGGUCCUGUUGUCACACUGGAGGACUGUCUUGCUGCUUUUUUUGCUGCAGAUGAGUUGAAGGGGGACAACAUGUACAGCUGUGAACGGUGUAAAAAGCUGCGGAACGGAGUGAAGUACUGCAAAGUUCUCCGGCUGCCUGAGAUCCUGUGCAUCCACCUGAAACGCUUCCGGCACGAGGUCAUGUAUUCCUUUAAAAUCAACAGUCACGUCUCCUUCCCAUUGGAAGGGCUGGACCUUCGACCCUUCCUGGCCAAGGAGUGCGUCUCCCAGAUCACCACCUACGACCUCCUGUCAGUUAUCUGCCAUCAUGGCACAGCCGGCAGUGGACACUACAUAGCAUACUGCCAGAAUGUGAUCAAUGGCCAGUGGUAUGAAUUCGAUGACCAGUAUGUCACUGAAGUCCAUGAGACAGUGGUGCAGAAUGCAGAGGCCUAUGUCCUCUUCUACAGGAAGAGCAGCGAAGAGGCUGUGCGGGAACGUCAGAAGGUGGUAUCCCUCGCCAACAUGAAGGAACCCAGCCUGCUCCAGUUCUACAUCUCUCGAGAGUGGCUCAAUAAAUUCAACACGUUUGCAGAGCCUGGUCCCAUCACCAACCACACGUUCCUGUGCUCUCAUGGAGGCAUCCCUCCCAAUAAAUAUCAUUACAUUGAUGACCUGGUUGUGAUUCUGCCCCAGAACGUGUGGGAGUAUCUCUAUAACAGGUUUGGGGGUGGUCCUGCUGUCAAUCAUCUGUAUGUCUGCUCCAUAUGCCAGGUGGAGAUUGAAGCUCUGGCCAAACGCAGAAGGAUUGAGAUUGAUACCUUCAUUAAGCUGAACAAGGCAUUCCAGGCAGAGGAGUCUCCUAGUGUCAUCUACUGCAUCAGCAUGCAAUGGUUCCGGGAGUGGGAAGCCUUCGUCAAGGGGAAGGACAAUGAGCCUCCCGGACCAAUUGACAACACCAAGAUUGCUCUCACGAAAGCAGGUGGCCAUGUGCAGGUGAAGCAGGGAGCAGAUUACGGGCAAAUUUCGGAGGAGACAUGGAUUUAUUUAAGCACAGUGUAUGGCGGGGGCCCCGAGAUUGCCAUCCGACAGAACAUAGCACAGGUCCAGGAGCCAGAGAGCCUGCACGGGGAGCAGAAGAUUGAGGCAGAGACUCGGGCCGGAUGAGUUGCACUGGACUGUGGGGCAAAGGCAGCACUUGGCUCCCCUGCUUUUCUCCUUAGGAGCUAUUCUGAGCACUUUUUGGAACUCGGAUGUAUAAAGAGGAACCUUGUUUCUAUUCACCACAGUGAUGUUACAACUUGAGAACUGACUGGCUGGGAACUGCUGAAAGCCACGAGGGCUCUGGGACGUUGCUGUUUUAGCGGUGCACAGGUGACACACGUGGCCUUCCCAUUUUGUUCUUGCUCUGAUUGUUGCAUCUCCAAUCACAGCUGAGAAACCUACUUGAGAGGGGCUGGUUUCUCUUAGUCAGCCACAUGGUCAUGGUUCAUUACAAUUUCUGAGCUGCCUACAUCUGAGCUUAUCUGUGCUCAGCGCGUUCUUGGAGAGCAAAGCUGGAAGACCAGUAGCACCUUCCCAUUGUGCCACUUGCUCUAAACUUCCCAACAGCCUUGUAGAUGUGGACCCGGCUCUCCAAGUUCCAAGCGCACGGGACUGCGUUAUGUGAAUGGCUUCAAACCCAAGGACAAGUGCCAGUUCAUGAUACAAAUGCCACUGCAGUAGACAUCUUUUGGAACGCACCCAUUUGGCAUUAGGAGGAGGUAGUCCCUGGAACUGGUGAUGGAAGCCCUGUGACUGCAUACCUUAAAGCAACCUUGCCAGGGUGAAAAGACAGGCACCGUUACAAACAGUGAAAGCCAGACAGCAUCUUGCAAGAAGGCAGUGUCCGACUGCGGUACUGCUGAUGAUGCAAAGACCAUUGUAAGACUGCUCAGCAAGAGGAGCCCCGAAGCUGGCAGUCACUGCUUUCCUGUUAACAUAUGCAGGAGACUGCUUCUUCAGCUGAACUCAGCAAAACCAGUGGUUGAAAUCAUAAAUUGAGUCCAGUCAACUGGGCCAGUCCUACAAGUGAAGUAUUGAGCUGUAAAUAUGUCACUCAGAUAAAUGCUGCAGGAGCUAGUGUUGGCAGGUUUUAAGGUGAAGGACACACGAGAACUGCUGAGCAGCAUGGCUCGGAGCUGGACAGCGUGUUCAGAGCCUGAGCCUUCCACUCUUUCCAAGGGCACAGAAAUGCCUCUGUACUUGGCAGCAGGGCACACGGUGCUGUGCAAAGCUGACCGUGUAAACGUGUUGCUUUAAAAGCAGGGACCCGUCUCCUGGGAUCAUCUGAAGACACUUCAAAAUUGAUCUGAUAUUCCCUAGCUGUCAGUAGCUCCAAGGAACUGAUCCCCAGCCACAUAACCGGGGAAACUCUAAGCCAUCUCCUUAUACAGACCCAUGUGGGGACUGUAUAGUUGCUCACCUGGCUCACUGUAACCAGCUGAUCUCAUAGUCUUGUGCUAGUGAGCAGGGUUCAAGACAACCCAGGAUCUGGCCUUCAGUGAGAUUGCAGGAAGCCCUGUGCUGAGGCCAGGCUGUUGCAAACUUAAGCCGAAACUUUAAACUGACUCAGAACAGUCCAACUGCUGCACUGGCUUGAGGAAAAUUGUGUUUCCCAAUAAUGAUGUGUGAGGGUGGGGGUGGGUAUGUCUUGCUUUCAGGUAACAUGCACAUACAGCUCUUGUUCCUGUCAUUGUAAGCCAUCCUCAAACCCCCAGCUAGAAAAACUCUAGGGACCACAGCAACUGCAGAAGAGCUCGUACCGUUGCAGAAGACAAGCAAGCACAUCUGUCCCGUCACCUCCCCCCACCCAGGGCCACAAAUGUCCUUUUAAGAGAUUUAUAUAUUGUCUAGACAAAAAGCUCUGCUGCAGUGUCAAAACCUUAAUUGUAGCAGACACCUUUGGCCCUUCCACUGUCUGCUUACAACCCCAAAGCCCUGCUGCACUUCCAGACCUGACCUUACAGCUGGUAUUGCUCAAAUCAUCUGCAUUUGGUAGCCCAUCAUUUUCUGGUGCCUGCUUAGACCAUCCCAGCCAGCUCUAGAGCAGCUGGCUGCACAACACCUUAUUUAUCUAUUUAUUCCUUGCUACAUCUCGACUCUCCUAAUGGUCUCUUCAUGUUCAUUUUUUUUUUGCUGGUCCCCCUCUAUCCUUUUUUCCUACCCAUUAUAGCCAAACCUUUCAUUAAAAGCUCAGUCUGUUAAGACAUGAUCUUUCUCCCCUUGGAUCCAAGGCAGGCAUUACACACUUUAACAAACAAGCUCAAUUUACAGGCCCUUUGCUGACAGCUACUGAGACCAUGGACACUGCAUAUCUUCUUCCCCGUUUGGAUGACAAGUACAAAUUCUCACCAACAUUCGGUGCCCUGUCUGGUGAUUUGCAUGCUGUGAAUAAGAGAUAAGCCUUAAAUACAAGCAACUCUCACUUACUGCUCUACUUGCUGCUUAGCUUUGGCUCGGUGCCUUUUAGCUAUUUGUUCAGAGGCUCCAUUUCUAUUCUGAAGCUGGCACAGAUGAUUAAAGGAGUCUCCAGGUGGAGCUAUGACCACCCACCCUUUCCUGGUGUUAUCCAUAUACUGGACUUGGAGGACAGAAACCACAUGCACCUGAUCCUUGCAUUUUUUUUUUUCCUAUCCUAACCUCUCUCUUCCUCUACUGGCUGAUAAUUCAUUGUUCAAGGGCUGCAUCAUAAAUAAUGCUGCUCUGCUCUGGUUGCCCUUGGUGCCUUGCUGCGACUGAACUGUUGCACCUCUAAAAAAUGACACUGGAUUUUAGAAAACUGCUUUGUGCAGUUGCUCUACUCUCCCCUCCUCCACGGAUGAACCAGACACCACUCGGUGUCCAUCUGAUUUGAGCCGGUCCUAACUGCAAAAUCUCUUGGCUCCCAGAAUAGCCUGUUUUCAACGUACAGGGCAUACAGGUGAUUGUCUUGCCAAGUCAGCCAGAAGCUAGUCAUGUCCUCGGUGCAGGAUGGUGCGUUCACCUUGAGAGGAGCAGCUGAUUGAAUUUAUGAAGAGAGGGAUAAGGAACAAAAAAAGGUUUCAGGCUGGUGCCUUCCAGCCAAAAUAGUCAUUUUUAAAGUAGACAGUUGAUCAGGAUUAGCACUGAAAGGUCAGUAGGGUGAGUCCAGAAGUUUAUCGAGCUAGGACAUGUCCCUUUCAUUAGCCAGCAGAUGGCAGCAUUCACAUCAUCCAGAAACAGGCACCGCCAUGUAUCUCUAACCAUCAGGUACAACUAUUUAUUGGCCGCUUCAACUCCAUGAUUAGGGAAGAUUUUUUCACCUCAGGCUGCCUGCUAAUCCUCCCUACUUCUGACUAUCCAGACAGGGCCACAGAUUAUGCUACCGUCUGGUUAAAAUCUUUUUAAAGGUUUCAAGACUACAGCUCUGAAGCACAGGAAGAGACAGUUUCUUGAUGGAGAAACUCCUAAGGGAAACCAGCAACCCAGUAGCUAAAAGACACUUUCCCAGUUGGCAGUAGCUGAUCUUGUCUUUGAAAAUAAACUGAGAGGAAGGUGCACUCUACACACACAAACACACUUCCAUUUUCAAUAGGUAAGGCCCUACAAAAGGACUCCAAGAAAGCUGAGCCGGCAGAUUCAAGAGGUGCUUGCAGGGUACACAUACUGAACUCUGCUCCUGCACACACAUGGCAGUAGUCCUCGCGUGACCGCUCCCUGCCGUUCUGCACACGUCUGCCUUUCUUAGUUGGCAGGAGAGAUGGAUGUGCUUUGACAGCAGCAUUUUUUUUUCAGUUAUACAGAAGGGGCUUCCACUUUUACCCUCCACUUGCAUCUCAUUCCUUACACACCAUCCAGAUUCAGAAGACAGUGAGGAUCAGUUCUAUCAGCCAUCUAACCUGCACAUGGCUGGCGUGAAAGAAAUCUGCUGCGAUUCAUACGCACAAGGUGGCAGAGUGGAAAAUGCUCUGACAACCCUGGCCUGUACAGAUGUUUGAGAGACUCAUCUUGCAGUCUUAAUAGGUCUGGGAUUGCACUUCCAAAGAUUUUUAGGAAAAAGAUGCCUUAAACUGCAGAAGAGAGGGCAGGGUGGCACCUUAGAGAUUAACCGAUUAUUCAAACUAACAUGGCUAAUCGCCUCCACUCUGCAAACCGCACGCUGAUGUGAGUUUCCUUCGGAGCCCUCUUACUUGAGCAUCCUUCCAGGUCCCAUUCCACAAGCCCCUUGCGUAUGAAAACUUACCGUAUUUUUUUGCGUACAACAUGCACUUUUCUCCCCAAAACCAGUUGCUGGAAGUUUAAGUAUGCAUUAUAUACAGCUCCUGCCAGAU